AUACGGAGGGUGCGAGCGUUGUUCGGAAUUAUUGGGCGUAACGAGCAUGUAGGCGGUCUGUUAAGUCUUGUGUGAAAGCCCGGGGCUCAACCCCGGAAGUGCAUUGGAUACUGGCAGACUUGAGUAUGGGAGAGGAAAGCGGAAUUCCGAGUGUAGGAGUGAAAUCCGUAGAUAUUCGGAGGAACACCAGUGGCGAAGGCGGCUUUCUGGACCAAUACUGACGCUGAGAUGCGAAAGCGUGGGGAGCGAACAGGAUUAGAUACCCCUGUAGUCC
rnacentral:rRNA from 1 species